GACGAACGCUGGCGGCGUGCUUAACACAUGCAAGUCGAACGGAAAGGCCCUGCUUUUGUGGGGUGCUCGAGUGGCGAACGGGUGAGUAACACGUGAGUAACCUGCCCUUGACUUUGGGAUAACUUCAGGAAACUGGGGCUAAUACCGGAUAGGAGCUCCUGCUGCAUGGUGGGGGUUGGAAAGUUUCGGCGGUUGGGGAUGGACUCGCGGCUUAUCAGCUUGUUGGUGGGGUAGUGGCUGACCAAGGCUUGGACGGGUAGCCGGCCUGAGAGGGUGACCGGCCACAUUGGGACUGCGCUACGGCCCAGACUCCUACGGUAGGCAACAGUGGGGAAUAUUGCACAAUGGGCGGAAGCCUGAUGCAGCAACGCCGCGUGCGGGAUGACGGCCUUCGGGUUGUAAACCGCUUUCGCCUGUGACGAAGCGUGAGUGACGGUAAUGGGUAAAGAAGCACCGGCUAACUACGUG
rnacentral:rRNA from 1 species